CCACCCUGAGCAGGGAGUGGCACUUGAUCCAAAGAGAGCCUCUGAAAUGGCUGCACCCGAUAUCUCAGCAGGUUACCCCAUAGAGUGUUGAGUGGGCAACUCAAUUAUUCCCUCACCUGAAGAAGUCUGAAAGCAAGACGAAGAGAGUCCUUUUGCAAGAGUGAUGUACAAAGCCCUACGGACAUACAGACUUCGUGUGCAAGUCCUGUGGAGGAGAGGAGAUGAGAGAGCAAUCGGUUGGUGGCAUCUGGGGACAUUAAACAGUGACGUGGACACAGUGAUGGCCUGCAGUGGUGAACCAGUGAGGGAACAAGUCCUAUGGUUGGGGAGCUACCUGAGGCUGGAGAGCAGAGUACAGCCAGGCCCACAGUGGUGCAGCAUACCAGAGUCAAGGUCUCACUAGGAUGUCCAGGCUGGCCUCGAACUCCUGGGCUCAAGCAAUCCACCUGCCUUGGCCUCUGAAAGUGCAGGAAUUACAGCCUUAUCCAAAAUCUCUGGAGGUAACACCAGUGGAAGCAACCUUAGAAGAGGAAUGAGUUGGCAGGAGGCAAGAGGCAGGAAAGCACUGAGUAAGAGCUGGCAGUGUCAGUGUCAGCAUCAGAUCAAUUAUAGAGAAUGUUUCAUCAUGAGAUGUGAGCAUCAUGUUCCAGGCCCUGAGUGCUUCAUAAAAAAAAAAGUUCCUUUUCCACCAAAACAAUGCCCUGAUUUGAGUGCUUCAUCAAAAGAGAAAGAUUUCUCAUGAUAAACCAUAUUCUAAGCACUUAGAUCACAAUAUAGUAAAUUUUCAAAAGGAAGUCACUUUUGCCAAGAUAUAAAGGCUCAUGUACGUAAAUUCUAUGCUUCCAAUAUAAGUACAUUUCAAAAAUAUUAUUAAACCCUUAUUUACUGAGUGCUGCUUAUAUGCCUCCUAUUCUCACUCUUUUUUGUGGUUGAAUUUAAUCAACACACAACUCUAAGGAAUAGGCAUGACUCAUUAUUUUCAUUUUACACUUGAGGAAACUGAGGCACUCAGUGUUUUACAUAUAUAAAAAUGAGUAUGAGGUUCAGCCAAAAUUCAAAUACCGAACGUCUGGCUCCAAAGCCCACAUGGUAUUCACCAUAAAUAGAAAUUUC
rnacentral:lncRNA from 10 species